AACGUAAGAUGACUGUAGGUGAAAGCUUACAUCUCUUCGGAGCUAUUUUACGAGGUGCUGCAUGGUUGUCGUCAGCUCGUGCCGUGAGGUGUCGGGUUAAGUCCCAUAACGAGCGCAACCCCUACCUUUAGUUGCCAUCAGGUAAUGCUGGGGACUCUAAAGGAACUGCCUACGCAAGUAGUGAGGAAGGCGGGGAUGACGUCAAAUCAGCACGGCCCUUACGUCCAGGGCUACACACGUGCUACAAUGGCCGAUACAGAGGGCAGCUACCUGGUGACAGGAUGCAAAUCUCCAAAGUCGGUCUCAGUUCGGAUCGGAGUCUGCAACCCGACUCCGUGAAGUUGGAUUCGCUAGUAAUCGCGCAUCAGCCAUGGCGCGGUGAAUACGUUCCCGGGCCUU
rnacentral:rRNA from 1 species